GGCGAUGAAGGACGUGCUAAUCUGCGAUAAGCGUCGGUAAGGUGAUAUGAACCGUUAUAACCGGCGAUUUCCGAAUGGGGAAACCCAGUGUGUUUCGACACACUAUCAUUAACUGAAUCCAUAGGUUAAUGAGGCGAACCGGGGGAACUGAAACAUCUAAGUACCCCGAGGAAAAGAAAUCAACCGAGAUUCCCCCAGUAGCGGCGAGCGAACGGGGAGCAGCCCAGAGCCUGAAUCAGUGUGUGUGUUAGUGGAAGCGUCUGGAAAGGCGCGCGAUACAGGGUGACAGCCCCGUACACAAAAAUGCACAUGCUGUGAGCUCGAUGAGUAGGGCGGGACACGUGGUAUCCUGUCUGAAUAUGGGGGGACCAUCCUCCAAGGCUAAAUACUCCUGACUGACCGAUAGUGAACCAGUACCGUGAGGGAAAGGCGAAAAGAACCCCGGCGAGGGGAGUGAAAAAGAACCUGAAACCGUGUACGUACAAGCAGUGGGAGCCUCUUUAUGGGGUGACUGCGUACCUUUUGUAUAAUGGGUCAGCGACUUAUAUUCUGUAGCAAGGUUAACCGAAUAGGGGAGCCGAAGGGAAACCGAGUCUUAACUGGGCGUUAAGUUGCAGGGUAUAGACCCGAAACCCGGUGAUCUAGCCAUGGGCAGGUUGAAGGUUGGGUAACACUAACUGGAGGACCGAACCGACUAAUGUUGAAAA
rnacentral:rRNA from 1 species